rnacentral:rRNA from 1 species
GAUGAACGCUGGCGGCGUGCCUAAUACAUGCAAGUCGAGCGAACAGAUGAGGAGCUUGCUCCUCUGACGUUAGCGGCGGACGGGUGAUUAACACGUGGAUAACCUACCUAUAAGACUGGGAUAACUUCGGGAAACCGGAGCUAAUACCGGAUAAUAUAUUGAACCGCAUGGUUCAAUAGUGAAAGACGGUUUUGCUGUCACUUAUAGAUGGAUCCGCGCCGCAUUAGCUAGUUGGUAAGGUAACGGCUUACCAAGGCAACGAUGCGUAGCCGACCUGAGAGGGUGAUCGGCCACACUGGAACUGAGACACGGUCCAGACUCCUACGGGAGGCAGCAGUAGGGAAUCUUCCGCAAUGGGCGAAAGCCUGACGGAGCAACGCCGCGUGAGUGAUGAAGGUCUUCGGAUCGUAAAACUCUGUUAUUAGGGAAGAACAAAUGUGUAAGUAACCAUGCACGUCUUGACGGUACCUAAUCAGAAAGCCACGGCUACCUACGU